AACGAACGCUGGCGGUAUGCUUAACACAUGCAAGUCGUACGUGAAGGGGGCUUCGGCCCCUGGAAAGUGGCGCACGGGUGAGUAACACGUGGAUAAUCUACCCCGGGGGAUUUGGGAUAACAUCUCGAAAGGGGUGCUAAUACCAGAUAAGCCCACGACAUCUUCGGAUGACGCGGGAAAAGGGGGCUUCGGCUCCUGUCUCCGGAUGAGUCCGCGGCCCAUUAGCUAGUUGGUGGGGUAAUGGCCCACCAAGGCGACGAUGGGUAGCUGGUCUGAGAGGAUGAUCAGCCACACUGGAACUGAGACACGGUCCAGACACCGUACGGGAGGCUG
rnacentral:rRNA from 1 species